UACGAAGGGGGCUAGCGUUGUUCGGAAUUACUGGGCGUAAAGCGUGCGCAGGCGGCUUCUCAAGUCAGGGGUGAAAGCCCAGAGCUCAACUCUGGAAUUGCCCUUGAGACUGAGUGGCUUGAGUACGAGAGAGGUGAGUGGAAUUCCCAGUGUAGAGGUGAAAUUCGUAGAUAUUGGGAAGAACACCGGUGGCGAAGGCGGCUCACUGGCUCGUAACUGACGCUCAUGCACGACAGCGUGGGGAUCAAACAGG
rnacentral:rRNA from 1 species